rnacentral:lncRNA from 1 species
UUUGCAGCGGCGGCGGCGGCGGCGGCGGGGUCCGCCGCAGUCGGUGCCUCGGGGAGCCGGGGCUCGGGCGGGUUCUCCACGGUUCCAGGGCUGGCCGGGGCCUCGCGGCGCUUCCAAAGUCCUGCAGCCCCGCUGCGCAGAGCGGUGCUUGGGGUAGGGCAUCCUCCCUCCCCCGGGCCCCUGGACUCUGCAGCGCCUGGUCGCCUGCCCGCUGGACUCUGCUUGCCGCGAAGCCCGCAUUUAAGGACAGGGGGGCCCCGCCACUAGGAAGGGACAGCUAAGCUGCCCAGGCGACGCUGUGCCCCCCUGUGAUGACAGCGGGAGUUCCCAGGAAUGACAUCUCAAGGGAAAAUGAUCCAGAAAGGAGUUGCCAAAGGGAAUCUGUGAAGUACCAGUCAGCCAUGGCUAUGUCUAGCAGUUCAUCCACCAUUAACUCCUCAACUUGAAAAAUCCUUCAGGAAUCCACGUGAAAGGUAUGCAUGGCCUCCAUGGACAGCAGACAGUAGAAAAGCAGAGAGGCUUCAUUCUUCACAACCUCUGAAAGAUCGUCUUACAUCACCAUGCCUUCUCUUUCUAGAAACUUCAUUUCUAAGCAGAUGAAAGAGGCCAAAUGCUUAGCUGAUUCCCCUGGACAACCUGAGGUGUUCAUUUCAGAGGACCAGUUGACCGUAGGGUCAACUCUGUUCUCUAAUUUUGAGUUUGCUCUUCAGGUUAGCAAAGGCUUGAACACCCCACCCCCAAUUCCCUUCCUUCUUCUCUGAUACCAUCUUCCCUUUCCUCUAGUUUUUGCUCUCUUUUCCUCUUGAAUCUCUGCUGCCUUAAUCCCAUCCAUCUCCUGUUCCUCUUUCCUCUCGGGCUUGAGAAGAACGUUAACUACAAGUCCUGCUUUCUCAUCGUGACCCUGUCCCUACAACAGUGAGGUCUGCAUCAUCUCUCGGAUUGAGAUUCCUGGUCUGUAUUAUGGCAGUGUCAGACAGGAGGCUCAGAAAGGUCACUUGUAAGGCUAACAGUCUCUGAUCAUUAGACACUUGCACUGGGAUAGAGAAGCUGGGUAGGUUUUGUGGUUUUUCUUGGUGGAGUCAUUUCCUCUUUCAAAACCACUCAGGGCUCUGCAUGUAACACCUCCUUAUUUUUGUAUCAUGUUUUAUAUUUCACAGAUAUUAUCACCUAUGUCCCUCCUCUGUGACAUUGCAGGACAUCAAUUGUCAAGGCAUACAGCAAGGUGAAUAUUCAGGACUCAGAACCCUGAGUAGAAAGUACAUAUGUAUCUCAAGCAAUUCCCAUUGCCUUCAUAUUUUUUCUGUAACUUUUUUUUUAGUUAGACUAUUUGCCAUUCUACCAGCUGCAAGCCCGAUUUAACUCAUUAUUCUUUCCCUUGAGGUUGGCAUCCUCCUAGCUCUCCUCAAGACUAGCUGAUGUUUGCAUUCUUCCCGGAGAAACGUGAUGCAAAGGGGAGGCCCAGUGUUAGCAGGCAUACAGGGCUGACCCUAAAAACACCAGGUCACUCAACUAAGAAAUAUGAAAAAGAGCCAAGAAAUAUUUCCCUAACAAAUUCAUACCAAAAUAUAAAAUCAUAUGCAUUGAGAUUGUAAUCAUGCAAAAAAUACAUUCACAUGAAUCACUCCUAAAAGAGACCAAUUACAAAUUAAAGUUUUGUGCUAGGGUGAGAUAAUCCUAAGAUUAAAUUUUUUUUUGAUGUUUCAUUGCUUUUACAUUUUAAAAAAAUGCAUGUGCCAUUAAAACCUCCAGUCGAACUCCCACCAGCCUAUAGGAUCUCUUUUCUGUGGAGUUCAGUUACUCCUUUUCUCUUUGCCAUCUUUUUCUUAUUACAAACAGUCUCAUGUGUAGCUUUUCUAGGUGAAUUUUCACUUUGUCCAGAAGUUAUAAAAAUAAUAUAACUGUGUUUGAUUUGAAGGAUGACCAGGAAAUCUGAGAAUAUCAGGAGGGAGGGGGGGAAAGAAGGUAAAAGAGAAAUGAAAGAGCAGCAGAGACUCAAGCUGCAUUUCAGAAAGCAGCAUAAAGGCAUGUAAAAUGUGUACACACAUUUGGUAUAUCAAGUCUGAGCUUAGAUAUUAUGGAAAUUGAAAGCCAAGUCUUCCUAAGACAAUAAGAAACCUUCUUUUGGUUGGAGGGGCUGGUUCAAAACCUUGAAGUAGGGAAAAGAGGCUGAAAUACACCAGCAGAGUUACUCAAAACUUCUCAAAAUCUAUUGCAAUGAUUAAUCCUGAGAAAUGGUAUGUCACAAAAGUCACAAAAUCCAGCUGUGGAACCAAGAAUGAAACCCAGGACUGGACUGCCAUCUCAUCCCAUUCUCAAACAAAUGUAGGGGCUUCGCUGAUUUGGAACCAUUUGGGCAGAACCUUCCUGGCUUAGCCUCAUCUCUUGGUGAUUUUUGAAUCUGAAAGCUUUGCUAGCAAAAUGGAACUCUUCUUCUGAUGUCUCUUUAGAGACACUGACCACAAGCUGUCCCAGCAACCUGAAAUAUUUUGCUGGGAUGAGGGAUAGGAAAAGGCAAUAUAUUAAUGAGGGUAUGAAAACUGCUGUAAGAUACAGUUAACGUGGAUUAGUACAAUAAAGGUCCAUUUCUUGUUCAUGCCUCUGUUCAACAUGGUUUGGUGGUAGGGUUGGUUUCAUGUAGUCAGUCAUUCAGGGCCCCUGGGUCUUUCCAUCUUGUGGCACCUUUAUGUUCAACAAGUGGCUUCCCAAAUCCCUGAUGUACUAGAAGAGAGACCAAAGGAUUUAAGAUGCCUGUGAUACACAUCACAUCCACCCACAUUCCACUGGCCAGAACCUGGUCCAUGGUCCCACCUACCAGCAAGAAGCUGGAAAAAUAUGUUUAAGUGCUGUGCUGGGGAAGACGGGGACAAUACUACAUUGUCUCCCCAAUGUGCUGAAAUAAAGACAAAUCAUUCAUCUUAAGCUUAUUCUCACACAGCCAUGACUGGAAACUUAGGAGGGAGAGUCUCUAGCAGUCAGAUUUAUUCUUCUGUGCUUAUAUGUUGGUAUUUUCCCUGAAUGUUUAGAUUGGAAGCAGCCUACUGUAUGCGUGUUUUGGAUGGUAUUGCUGUCUUGGCAGUGUUUGUGGAUAUAGAUGGGAACAUAAAGAGUCAACAGCCUGCAUUGUUACAGAGAAUUGAACACUUGAAGUAAGUGUAAAAGUGUCUUCUGGAGCGCUUGCCAUGAGCAGAGUGCUAUUGAUUCCAUUAUCAGGGGAGAAAAUGGAAUCUGCAAUCAGCUUCUGAAGCUGCUACAAUUGGAAACUCUGGAGCCUUUGGGAAGAAAAAAAAAGUGAAAAGAAACAUAGCUGUAUCUGCAGUCAGCCUGUCCUGAUGGUACCGGUGACUUCAGGGGAAAGAGGAUGGGGCAAGCAAGCAAGCAAGAAUGUAGUUCUUUCCAGCACAAAUAUCCCUUCAGGAAAAAUAUGAGGGUUCAUAGUACUGUGAGGAUUUACAAGGAGUUUAUUUUUAUUUAUUUAUUUUUUGUUGUUGGGUACAAGGAGUUUAAAUUAAAAAGCAAAGCCAUGCCAUGAAGAUACAAGUUAGAAAAUUUUGGACAGCUGCCCAGCCUCCUCAGGCUGUCCUUCUCAUGUGAAGUAGGGAGGGAGCAUCAGAUUGCAGCCAAGGACCAAGCUACAUCCUCCCCAAGUUCUGCUGGGUUUGUAGUUUCCAUAGGUUGGGGGAUAGUGUGUGUAUUUGGGUGACUUAAUAACUUUCCCUUAACUUUAAAGUAAUGAGUAUAAGAAGUCCUCUCUAAUGAGCAUUCUGCACACCAAGAAAUAUAGAGGCAUUUUCUUCUAGAGACUUUCAGAAGACAUGGUUAAAGAAGUUUACUUAGGGAUGCCUGGGUGGCUCAGUGGUUGAGCGUCUGCCUCCAGCUCAGAGUGUGAUCCCAGGGACUUAGGAUUGAGUCUGCAUCGGGCUCCCCGCAGGGAACCUGCUUCUCCCUCUACCUGUGUCUCUGCUUCUCUCUCUGUGUCUCUCAUGAAUAGAUAAAUAAAAUAUUUUUUAAAAAAAAGUUUACUUAAUCUACAAGGGCUCAUUUAUUAUAUCAUGAUUAGAAUAAAAGGCAUGAUUUGAACUUGCACAUUCGCUACAGCUUCAUAAAAGUACAGAAAGUCAAGAAAAAUAUCCUGGAGGAAAAUCUGCUAAAAUGUUAGCUAUUGUUGCUGCCUUCAGGUUAAUAUUGUGUAUACUUAAAAAAAAUAUAUUGUGCUACUUUUUUCAAAUCAGAAGAAGAUAAAGGACGGGGGAAAUAUUAAUAUUUGACAAUGACAAAAAGUUAUGUAUGGUUUCAAACCCAGAGUCUACCCUCUCCAACAUUUACUAUUUGCUCAUUGUGCUUUAAAACAUUUUAUACUGUAUUUUUAGGCUAAGAUAACAUGUGCACAAGGCAAAGCAUCUGCAUAGACAUUUUCUUCGAAGAAGUUAUACAAGUGACUAGUAAGCACAUGAAAAGAUACUCAACAUUAUUCGCCAUUAAGACGAUGUAAAUCAAACACAGACACACACACACACACACACACACACACACACAAACCCACAAUGAGCUACUACUUCAUACCCACCAGGAUGGCUAGAAUUAGAAAACAUAAUAACAAGUGUUGAGAAGGAUUUGGGGGACCUGGAACCCAUCUACUUUGCUGGUAGCAAUAUAAAAGGUCACAAAGUUUGGGAAAAAAAGUCUGACAGUUCCUCAAAAGGUUAAACACAGAGUUGCAAUAGAACCCAGCAAUUUUACUGUUAGGUAUUUAAGAGAAAUGAACAUCCACGUGAAAGCUUGUACCUGAAUUCUCAUAGGAGCCUUAUUCAAAAAAGUGAAAACACUCCAAAUCUCUGUCAACUGACAGAUGGAUCAACAAAACGUAAUACAUUCAUAUAAUGGAAUAUUAUUCAGCAGUAAAAGGAAUGAAGUACCGAUGUGUGCUACGACAAUGAUGAGCCUUGUCUUGAACACAUUAUGUGAACUGAAAAAAGCCAGGUACAAAAGGCUGUGUUGUUUGAUUCCAUUUAUAGGAAAUGUUUGGAAGGGGCAAGUCUAUAAAGAAAGAAAAUAGGGCAGCCUGGGUGGCUCAGCGGUUUAGCACCCACUUUGGCCCAGGGCAUGAUCUUGGAGGCCCAGGAUCGAGUCCCACGUUGGGCUCCCUGCAUGGAGCCUGCUUCUCCCUCUGCCUGUGUCUCUACCUCUCUUUCUCUCUCUCUGUUUCUCAUGAAUAAAUAAAUAAAUCUUUAAAAAAAAAAAAAAGAAAAA